rnacentral:lncRNA from 1 species
GCCAGAACUGUGAGGGGAGAUGGUGUCAGAGCUGAGCCCUCAAGGUGGGCAGGGAUCAAGCAGGUGCCUGAGGGCAGGUGGAGCAGAGGAGUCUGCAGUCCAGAACUGCAAAGGCAGGGAGGCGUGGGGGUGGUGGGAGAGGCACCCUCCCGGCAUGUCCUAGGCAGGGUGAGCCUGAGAGGGGGGCAGGCCCGCCCACCCUCAGCCUCCAGGCAGCAUUUUGUCUUUUAUCCCCAGGGGAAUCAGGAGCCAUUGAAGAAGUUGAUUUGCUUUAUAAAACUUUCAUUACAUUUUCCUGUUAUACAGGUAAUAUAUAUGCUAGUAUUUUUAAAAAAUUAGUGAGGCCAGAAACAAAUUUGUAAAAAGCCAUCUCCAUCUCACAGCCUAGAUGGGGCCUUUUGGCCAUUAGCGUUUGACCGCUGCUUUCAGACUUUUCAGUGUGAGGUGUCUGGGCUGCAAUGAAACCCACACUGGCACUGGAAAACCCCACCCUGUCUGCAGAGCAGGGAAGGGAGCUUGGGUGAGAGGCCACAGGGGCCGGUGCAGAGCAGGGGAGGGAGCCUGGGUGAGAGGUCACAGGGGCUGACACCAAGCUUCAGGGGUGGGCUCAGAAAACAGACAGGGUCAAGAGACAUUUGAGGGCUUGGAAUGACCGAGAGAAGGUUGGUGGGCGUGUCGCCUGUGAGGUCCUUGCCUUUGGUGGUCUGUGAUGCUACCAGGACUGGAGUGUGUGUGGAGUGGGGGUAGUGUGGCUCUGCCCGGGGAGGAAUGGCCAGGAGAGCACCCUGGAGUAGGGAGCCAAGGGAAAGAUGUUCUGGAGGAGGAAGCCGGCGAGGGCAGAGGCUCUCAGAGGCCCAGGGGAGUCAGGAAGGGCUGUCCCACACGGUGGAAGAGGACAGUUUGACCCGGUCCCAUCAAGAGCAAUGCAGGCUGGAGGAGGGAUGAGGGGUGUGGAGGACCAGGACUGGGGACAGCGAGUGCUGAAGCUGAG